GUUAGGGGUGGGACUGCGGAAGGAUCAUUAC
rnacentral:rRNA from 1 species